GCAGCUCUCCGCAGAAUCCAGGGGACGGUUGCUGAGCGGGCCUGGGACACCGGGUCGCAGCGCCUCCCGCCUGCGCGUGUCUAAUCCAUCUGCCGGGUCCCGAACAAGCUAAGCCGAGCCUGCGCCAGACGGGUGGGCUGGACUGAGAGAAUUCUCUGAGCUGGUGACAGGUGCCACAGGCACUGGGGAUCUCACCAGAAAGGAACCAACGGAGCUAGGGGCCAGCGAGAUGUCGGACGACGCCUUAGCUGGGCUGGAUGAGGGAGCCCUUCGGAAGCUGCUGGAGGUCACAGCGGACCUGGCAGAGCGGCGGCGCAUCCGCUCAGCCAUCCGGGAACUACAGCGGCAGGAGCUGGAGCGCGAGGAGGAGGCCCUGGCAUCCAAGCGCUUCCGUGCCGAGCGGCAGGACAACAAGGAGAACUGGCUGCACCCACAUCCUCCACGACCUGGCCAUGGCAGUGGUGGGUACAGUCAUGAUGUCUCUGCAGCUCUCAGCAGCGGGAAGCUGAGCAGCGGGCUGCCCUGGCACAGCUGGCAGGGCAGCUGGAGUCCAUGAACGAUGUGGAGGAGUUGACUGUGCUGCUGCGAAGCGCCGGUGAGUAUGAGGAGCGGAAGCUGAUCCGAGCUGCCAUCCGCCGCGUCCGGGCUCAGGAGAUUGAGGCGGCCACCUUGGCUGGGAGGUUGUACAGUGGGCGUCCCAACAGUGGCUCCAGAGAGGACAGCAAGGGGCGAGUGGCACACAGGCUGGAACAGUGUGAGGUGCCAGAGCGAGAGGAACAAGAGCAGCAGGCAGAGGUCUCAAAGCCAACCCCCACCCCUGAAGGCACCAGCCAGGAUGUGACCACAGUGACACUCCUGCUGCGGGCCCCUCCUGGGAGCACCUCCCGCUCACCUGCCUCACCCUACAGUUCACCCACCCCUGCCUCUCCCGAGCCUCCACUGGAGCCUGCUGAGGCCCAGUGCCCUACAGCCGAGGUUCCAGGCAGCCCAGAGCCACCUGCCAGCCCACCCAAGACCACCAGCCCUGAGCCUCAGGAGUCUCCAACGCCCCCCAGCACUGAGGGCCAGGUGGCCAACAAGCUCCUGUCUGGCCGCAAAGAGACCCCUGCUGCCCAGAGUCCCCCCAGAGGCCCCUCUGACACCAAGAGAGCAGACCUGGCUAGACCCCGACCCUGCCAACGCUCCCUGUCGGUGCUCAGUCCCCAUCAGCCAGCCCAGAACCGAGAGUCCACCCCCAUUGCCAGCGGAUGUUCCUCGUUCCAGCGGGCUGGCUCUGUGCGGGACCGUGUCCACAAGUUCACAUCUGAUUCUCCUAUGGCUGCUAGGCUCCAGGAUGGCACACCCCGGGCUGCCCUAGGUCCCCUGACCCCUGCAAGGCUCCUGGGCCCCUCCCUCACCAGCACCACCCCUGCCUCCUCCUCCAGUGGCUCCUCCUCUCGGGGCCCCAGUGACACCUCCUCCCGGUUCAGUAAGGAGCAACUCGGAGUAGCCCAGCCCCUGGCCCAGCUUCGAAGCUGCCCCCAGGAGGAGGGCCCCAGGGGGCGGGGCUUGGCUGCCAAGCCCCUUGAAAACAGAGCAGGGGGGCCUGUGGCACGUUCAGAGGAGCCUGGUGCCCCACUGCCCGUGGCUGUCGGCACUGCCGAGCCAGGGGGCAGUAUGAAGACCACAUUCACCAUCGAGAUCAAGGACGGCCGUGGCCAGGCCUCCACAGGCCGGGUGCUGCUGCCCACAGGCAACCAGAGGGCAGAACUGACACUGGGGCUGCGGGCGCCCCCGACCCUCCUCAGCACCAGUAGUGGGGGCAAGAGCACCAUCACCCGUGUCAACAGUCCUGGGACCCUGACUCGGCUGGGCAGUGUCACUCAUGUCACCAGCUUCAGCCAUGCCUCCCCCGGUAGCCGAGGAGGUUGCAGCAUCAAGAUGGAACCAGAGCCAGCAGAGCCUCCCUCUGCAGCAGUGGAAGCGGCCAAUGGGGCCCAGCAGACCCAAGUGGACAAAGCACCAGAAGGGCGGAGCCCCCUGAGUGCUGAAGAGCUGAUGACUAUUGAGGAUGAAGGAGUCUUGGACAAGAUGCUGGAUCAGAGCACGGACUUUGAAGAGCGGAAGCUCAUCCGGGCCGCACUUCGUGAGCUCCGACAAAGGAAGAGAGACCAGCGGGACAAGGAGCGGGAACGGCGGCUGCAGGAGGCACGGGCCCGGCCAGGGGAGGGCCGAGGCAACACAGCCACUGAGACCACCACGAGGCACAGCCAGCGGGCGGCUGAUGGCUCUGCUGUCAGCACUGUUACCAAGACUGAGCGGCUUGUCCACUCCAAUGAUGGCACACGGACGGCCCGCACCACCACAGUGGAGUCGAGUUUCGUGAGGCGCUCAGAGAGUAAGACCACCUGGCGUCGUCCUGUGCCUGCCUGCCUGUCCGCCCACCUCCUCCAGCUCUUCCUUGAGCUCUCUCUUCGUGUCUUCAGCUGUGCCGUCACUUUCUCUUCUCUGCCUGCAGCUAUCAUCGUCCCUCCACACAGCCUCUCAUCCCAUCUCCUGAUGUGCCGCCCAGGCCCUCACCUGGUGCCCCUUCCCUUUUUUUGCAGAUGGCAGUGGCAGCAGCACCAUGGUGCAAACCAAGACCUUCUCUUCCUCCUCAUCCAAGAAGAUGGGCAGCAUCUUCGACCGCGAGGACCAGGCCAGCCCGCGGGCCGGCAGCCUGGCAGCCCUCGAGAAACGCCAGGCCGAGAAGAAGAAAGAGCUGAUGAAGGCGCAGAGUCUGCCCAAGACCUCAGCCUCCCAGGCGCGCAAGGCCAUGAUUGAGAAGCUGGAGAAGGAGGGCGCGGUCUGCAGCCCUGGCGGACCCCGCGCAGCCGUGCAGCGAUCCACCAGCUUCGGUGUCCCCAACGCCAACAGCAUCAAGCAGAUGCUGCUGGACUGGUGCCGAGCCAAGACGCGCGGCUACGAGCACGUGGACAUCCAGAACUUCUCCUCCAGCUGGAGUGACGGGAUGGCCUUCUGUGCCCUGGUGCACAACUUCUUCCCUGAGGCCUUCGACUAUGGGCAGCUUAGCCCUCAGAACCGACGCCAGAACUUCGAGGUGGCCUUCUCGUCUGCGGAGACCCAUGCGGACUGCCCGCAGCUCCUGGAUACAGAGGACAUGGUGCGGCUUCGAGAGCCUGACUGGAAGUGCGUGUACACGUACAUCCAGGAGUUCUACCGCUGUCUGGUCCAGAAGGGGCUGGUAAAAACCAAAAAGUCCUAACCCCUGUUUGGGGCCCCACGGAUGCUGGUGGACUGCGUGCCCCUCGUGGAGGUGGAGGACAUGAUGAUCAUGGGCAAGAAGCCCGACCCCAAGUGUGUCUUCACCUACGUGCAGUCGCUCUACAACCACCUGCGGCGCCACGAACUGCGCCUGCGCGGCAAGAAUGUCUAGCCUCCCCGCCCGCACGGCCCGCCAGUGGCAAGCUGCUGCCCCCACCCUCCGGGCACCGAUCCCUCCCUGUGCGCCCGCCCACCGCUGCCCUGUCUGUCGCGACACCCUCCUCUCACAUACACACGCAACGUUUUGAUAAAUUAUUGGUUUUCAACGA